UGAUAAAAAGAGGAAUUAAACCCCUAUCGAUGGGUCUACAGCCCACCGCCUUUCAUUCGGCCAUCUUACC
rnacentral:tRNA from 1 species